CCUACGGGUGGCAGCAGUGGGGAAUAUUGGACAAUGGGGGAAACCCUGAUCCAGCGACGCCGCGUGAGUGAAGAAGUAUUUCGGUGCGUAAAGCUCUAUCAGCAGGGAAGAAAAUGACUGUACCUGACUAAGAAGCCACGGCUAACUACGUGCCAGCAGCCGCGGUACUACGGAGGGGGCCAGCGUUAUCCGGAUGUACUGGGUGUAAAGGGAGCGUAGACGGAAGCGCAAGUCAGGAGUGAAAUGACGGGGCCCAACCCCGGAACUGCCGUUGAAACUGUCAAGCUGGAGUGCAGGAGAGGUAAGCGGAAUUCGUGGUGUAGCGGUGAAAUGCGUAGAUAUCACGAGGAACACCGGCGGCGAAGGCGGUUUACUGGACUGCAACUGACGUUGAGGCUCGAAGGUGUGGGUAGCAAACAGGAUUAGAUACCCCUGUAGUC
rnacentral:rRNA from 1 species